rnacentral:lncRNA from 1 species
AAAAAAAAACUGGCAGACAAGAAGCUUAGAAGUAUGUAAAGUGUUCUUUCUACUGAUACAUGAUUUUUGAUUGUUUCUUAUCAAUGUCCCAUUUUAAGUGGUAAGGGAAUUGUGCCAGUCAGACAGCAAGGGACUGGGGAAAAGCAUAUUGCAACAUAUUUUGAGUCUGUUGUACUGGGCAUUGCUUCUGGUGUAAAACAGAGGAGGGAUCAAAAGGGACCAAGAUUUUUUGCCUUUGAAGAGCUUAGGGGGUUCUCAAAAUGAGUGCUAGUAUUGCAUAUGACACAUAAUCAUAUCUCCUCAUGUCCAAAUGAAAACAACCAGGCCAUAAUAACAAACUUGUAGCUUCCAGUGGCCAUGGAUUACUGGGCUCCUGAAAGGAAAGCUGGGGCUGUAUGGGAUGGAUGGCGAGAGAAAUGAAGAGCCAAGACAAAGUUUUCUGAUCAAAGCCCAGUGUUUACUUUUGAAUCUGAGCUUAUAAAAUGGGGGAACCCAUCUCCCACUGUGCCAGGAUCUCAUCAGGAGCGGAAGCAGCAGAUGUGGCCUGACAAUAGACCUUACCUAAGUUGGAAGACUCCACCCUAGGUGGGCUAGCCAGCUGUGAAAAACACAGGGUCUGAAUCAGCCUGCCCAAGGCUGGGGGGAAGGGCAUAACUCCUCCCUUUUUAUUUAUUAAAAAUUAGCUAGACCGGAGCAUAAGAUUUACUUAUGCUCCGUGGUCCUGCCUGGGAAUUAUGGUGGCUCACAGCCACGUCUGUUUUAGGACUGAAUCUAUUGGACUCUCUCUUAUCCUUCCUGGAGGUCACUUGCAGCUUGUUUGUGUUUAUUUGCACAAACACAACCUUUUAGUGUUUAUUACGAACAAACACGGCCUCUUGGCACAUGCUUCCUUCUGUCUUAGGAUGAAAAGAGCCAUAGACUAGUGGCCUGUCCUGGACUACCGGCCCUUAUAGCACACCUUUUUCCUAUUCAGACCAAAGCCACAAUAUGCACUCAAUGCAUCUCUCCAUAGCAAUGAAUAAUUGCCAUCUGAUCUUUGCUGAAGAUGGACCUGUAUAGAGGUAACUAACCUGUUUAAAAUACAAAGUCAAAAGUUAAAAGCAACAGAAUUAAAGUUGCCUGGAGGAUGUCCCAAUUUUAGUUGUAAAUUAGCAACAUCAGACCAUGGUCUGGCCUCCUGGUGUGGGGGAGGUGGCUUUGAGAACCAACAGAAAGAACUGUUACUUCUUAGGAAAUAGUGGUAAAAAGCCAGGUAAGCUGGCUGAUAGAGAUUUUUAGCUAUCUUCAUAAUUGAAAUCUCCAAUAUUGGAUUUAUUUCUAGACCAGUCUAUGAUUGAGUCGGAAUAACUGGUC